CCAUUGGACUCCAGAGUCCCCCUCCUCACAUCCUGUUCUCCAUCUAUAAUAAUAACUCUUGCAUACUCAGCCACCCUGCAAGAGCAGCCAACCAGUACAAGUGGCCUGAAUAUGACUAACUACCUCACAGGUCUCGCAGACCAACUUGGCCUCAGGUAUUGACCCACAAGUGCCACCAAUGUGUAUCUCACGGUUCUGGAAAACCUGAGGUCAGACGAAAAGACUCCAUGUGUGCUGCAGCCUCACUUCCUGAUGUAUGAUCUCAAGCCUUGUUACAUCCUCCUGUAAUAGAAAUGAUAGAGGAGCUCCUUGGCAUAUCUUCCCUAUGGGAAUUUAUCCCUUUCAGAAUCAGAAUAUGAGUUUGGACACAAAGGGAGAAAAGGAUAUUUCAUGUUGUUCAUCUCUAAAUGCUGUGUUGAUUUGAUAAUAAAAAAAAAA